rnacentral:misc_RNA from 1 species
AACGUAGUGGGCAAGCGUUGUCCGGAAUUACUGGGCGUACAGGGUGCGUAGGCGGCUAUUUAAGUCCUGUGUGAAGUGCCCCGGCUUAACCGGGGAGGGCCAUGGGAAACUGGAUGGCUUGAGUGUCGGAGAGGGUUGCGGAAUUCCCAGUGUAGCGGUGAAAUGCGUAGAUAUUGGGAAGAACACCAGUGGCGAAGGCGGCAACCUGGACGAUAACUGACGCUGAGGCACGACAGCUGGGGGAGCGAACAGG